CGGGCCCUUGCAGCUCCUCUGGCGGCAACUCUCUGGAACUCUCUGGUUCUGCCGCCCUCUCCCGCGCCACCCAGCCCCCUACCCGCCACCGAGAUCUGACCCUGUGCAUUCCCGCCCGUGGGCCCCGCGCUGGGUAUCACGGCGGGCGCUCGGCUCCCGCUCGAGGCCCCGGGAACCCCUCCCCCACGCCUACGGUUUGACCGCUGAGGGGACCCACCCUCGGAUUCUGCAGACCAGGUCUCGGGGAAGCGUGCCCUUGGAGUCUUUCCCCUCACCGGGCUUCCAGUGGUCUUUGUGUGAUUUCUGGGGCCUUUCUCUGGUCCCUGAGUGUCUUCUCUGGUGCCCACAGGCAAGUCUGACUCUCUGAUGCCACCUGUCGCUUAUAAUCCGCAGAAAUGGCCACACAGCUCGCAGACACAUCGAGGCGGGUAGGGUAACCCAGCGUCUCCCGGUGGCACUCUGGGAGGCGGGAAGAGGAUCAAGCAAGAGGAUGUUCAGUUAUGAACCCCAGGUAAAAUGACUGGUUUGUUCAGUUAUAUAAUUUGGUAGAUGUCAUACCUAUUCCUCAAUGUUUAUGGGGCAGGACUCCGGAGCUGCGGCUGUUCAGUAGGAGAGACCAAAAGCAAAUGGUAAACGAGAGAGAAGACACACAUGCACACACAAGUAAAACAGCAGGAGCCACAUUACUACCACCAUGGUCACUGCUGCCAGCAUCCAUGCCGUGCGGCUGAGCCGUCCUGACCCAAGUCCUUAUGUAACAUCUUCCACCCCAGGAGCCCCAGUCAGGGCUGCAGGCUGCUUGUAGAACAGUCUAGGGUACAGAUGGGCCAUGGGUAAUGAAAGGACGUCCUUUGCCCUGGAGGGACCCACAGGGUCCAUGGCAGCUGUCAUACUGCUUGCCUCUCCACUGCCCACUCAGAAGGCUGCCUGGGUCCCGAGGAGAUGUCUGAGUGUGCCCUCCCAUCUGGCUGGAUCCAGGCCUUCUGGCAAGAAACUGGAGCUUGGGGGUUGGGGAUUUAGCUCAGUGGUAGAGCGCUUGCCUAGCAAGCGCAAGGCCCUGGGUUCGGUCCCCGGCUCCAAAAAAAAAAGAACCAGAAAAAAGAAAAGAAACUGGAGCUUGGCGAGUUGAACUCCCCCCAAGGAGAGGGACAAUGGUGCUUUAUAUUUGGUCUCCUUUUGGGGAGUCAGAAACGAGAGGAGGAAGAGACCUCCAGAGGCCGAUUUAGGGACACCCAGUUUGCCUUUCUCUGUCUCUACUAAUGUGCUGAUUAACUUGAGGACUAUAGUAGUUAAAGGAAGCUUAUCUCGUAAUUUAGAUCUCCCCUUAGUGUGUGCACCGCAAACAUCCCAUUUUAAAAACAAAAGCACAGGAAUCUCAUUCUGUAGCCCUCACUGGCCUGGAACUUGAUGUGUAGACCCAGGCUGGCCUCAACACAUAGAAAAUCUGCCUGGCUCUGCCUCCUGAGUGCUGGGAUGAAAGGUGUGCAUGACCACAUCUUUUUUUUUAAUGAUUUACUUACUUAUUUUUAUGUAUAUUGGUAUUUUUGCCUGAAUGUAUGGCAUGUCUGUGUGAGGGUGUUGAAUCCCCUGGAACUGGAGUUACAGAUGGCUGUGAGCCACCAUGUGGUUGCUGGGAAUUGAACUCAGGACCUCUGGAAGAGCAGUCAGUGCUCCUAACCACAGAGCCAUCUCUCCAGCCUCACAUGACCACAUGUUAAUCUUACAUCGUGAGGCCUGAGGCAGGAGUGGACUUCACUUUGGGUCUCUAUUUGUUUAUGUUUUACCGCACAGGUCUACUCCUGUGUCACUCAGCCAUGUAAGGAUUCUGUUUUCACUGAAAGCCCCUGUCUUUCCCUUUGCCCAUCACACCCUACCCAGUGCCUUCUGAGCAUGCUUACUACCCCACACCACUCUCCUGCCAGUCAUGGAAUACUCUUACAAGCCACACAGACUGCACGGUCACACAGUUCCAGCUCUUAUCGCAUCCCCUGUCAAGUUAGGUUAUCCCCAUGGCCAACUGGCUCUAGCAUAAGGAACCGGAAAGCUGGCCUCAGUCGUGGGCCUUUGAAGCUCUGGAAGCUUCUUGGGGGAGAGGAGCCGGAAGGCAGAGGCCCUCUCUGAGGCUCUCACAAGCACAAGGAGGGUGCUGAUGGCUUUCUUGGCACAGUGUGACCCACAUGAUCCAGGGAAGCAGCCCUGCCCUUGUUGGCCUUCCCCUGCCUGCUCUCCAUGUGUCCUCCAUGAGGGGUGGCACCUAUUUGAAGAGGGAAACAGAUUCAAGCAGGGCAGGGUCCAUAGGAGUGCUCCUCAGGGGAUAAAGGAGCAUUAAAGAACAGGGAGGCACAAGACAGCCCUCAGCUCUCACAGCGCGGUCAGGGGAGCACACCGGUGAGUGUGAACUCAGUCUGGAGGAGCUACACAACUCUCCUGGCUUUGACCCAGGAGAUAAACAGACCCCUCAGAGUACCUUGGCACCUUUGCUACCUACCGGUGUGAUCGUUCUAACAGAUGUCUCCUCUCUACAAGAGCCCUUGACUUUUGCUAUAGAUACUUAAUUCGUAUAUACUUAGGAACUGUUUAUAUGCAAGUCCCUCUCCUGUCACUGCCAUGGGUGGCUGGUCCCAUGUUUGGCCAAACUGGGAGCUCCAUUUACUCUUAGAACUGCUGACUCUAGACAUCCCCAUACCGAAGCCAUGCCGCCUGCUUUCUGCUUGAACUCUGCUGAGUCCACACUGCCCUCCUCCCUGUGAGUGAAGACACACUGACAAGCAGGUUGUUGGGAAGGAGGCUUGGCGAGGAGGAAGCAGAAUGAACAAGCUUGGUCUCCAUGGCACCGUGGGCUCCAACAGUGGCAGCAGCUCCCUCUGCCAAAAGCGGGACUCAGCCUAGAAGCCCCUGAGGAAAGGCUGGCCGGCAGAAAUCACCACAAACACAGGCAGAGCUGGGAACAGGCACCUUCACCCUAUGACCAACCAAGGAUGCCUACCCCACAGUCUUUGCCACAGAAGCGGGUCUAUUUUUGUUGAACAGAAAUGUGUAUCUUCUCAGUUUUUUUAUCUUUUAAAACUCAAGUGAACAUAGGCCUUGCCAGUUAGGAACUGGAAGUUUGUCUAGAGCCCUAAGCGAGAGCCCGUGCACACCCGUGAGCGUGGUGCUGGGCUGAGCAGAGGCAGGAGGACAGAGCUGGCACAGAGUGAACAUGAACUUUCACACAAGUCAGAACAGAAUGAGCUAAAAAAUGAGCAAAUCAGACAGACAGACAGACCUACGUUUGGCAUAAAGACAUGGAACAUAAACGGACGGAUGGAAGCAAGGCCAGAAGUGGGAAGGCAGGGGUGAGCGUGCCUGGUCUCCAGCAGCUCCAGUCCAGCCUUAAACUGGGCAGGAGGUGGCCAUACGGAUCAACGCCCUCCACCAUGCUAGGGCAGGAAGGGAGAGUGCCUGGGGCCUGCACAGGGGAAACAGGUGAUCUGAUGCUGUCUCUCAGGUCCACGGAAGUCUGGGACCUGGGCAGUAUCUUCAGGACAAACUAAAGCAAGAAUGACUGAAGUGCCCUUGGAAAGGCUGGAGAAAGUUUCUCCUGAGCAACUGGCUUCCCUUGCCACAGGCCUGCAUGGGGCCAGGGCCUGCUGGGACCAUGUCUGGCACAGGCUGAAGGAGAACGGCAGCCACAGAAGGCCCUGUGGCUUAACACUUCAGCUACUUCGCUGAGCGAGUAAAGCACUGGACCCCGGAGUGGCUGCUCUGAAGCUGAAGCAGGUCUUCAGUGGGGACACUGGGGAGAUGAGAGAGGGAAGUGUGACGGGGCUCUGCUGAGGCCAGGAAGGGACAUCUGUCCCAGGCGAGGCUCUUAGUGGGUUUUGCUGCUGCUGAACGGGUGGAAGUCAGUGCUCAACUGUGGUUAUUUUAUUUGGGGUUCUCAAGACAGUUUUUCUGUGUAGCUCUGGCUGUCAUGGAACUUGGUCAGUAGACUAGGCCGCAUCAGACUCAGAGAUCUGCCUGCCUCCCCAGAGCAGGGAUUAAAGGCUUGCACCACCACA